rnacentral:rRNA from 1 species
CACUAGCCGUUGGAGUCCUUGAGACUUUAGUGGCGCAGCUAACGCACUAAGUUGACCGCCUGGGGAGUACGGCCGCAAGGUUAAAACUCAAAUGAAUUGACGGGGGCCCGCACAAGCGGUGGAGCAUGUGGUUUAAUUCGAUGCAACGCGAAGAACCUUACCUGGUCUUGACAUAUCUAGAAUCCUGCAGAGAUGCGGGAGUGCCUUCGGGAAUUAGAAUACAGGUGCUGCAUGGCUGUCGUCAGCUCGUGUCGUGAGAUGUUGGGUUAAGUCCCGCAACGAGCGCAACCCUUGUCCUUAGUUACCAGCGGUUUGGCCGGGAACUCUAAGGAUACUGCCAGUGACAAACUGGAGGAAGGCGGGGACGACGUCAAGUCAUCAUGGCCCUUACGACCAGGGCUACACACGUGCUACAAUGGUAGGUACAGAGGGCAGCUACACAGCGAUGUGAUGCGAAUCUCAAAAAGCCUAUCGUAGUCCAGAUUGGAGUCUGCAACUCGACUCCAUGAAGUAGGAAUCGCUAGUAAUCGCGGAUCAGAAUGCCGCGGUGAAUACGUUCCCGGGCCUUGUACACACCGCCC